rnacentral:rRNA from 1 species
AAGUGGCGGAAGGGUGAGUAAUGCAUAGAUAACCUGCCCCCGAGGCUGGGAUAACUCCGGGAAACUGGAGCUAAUACCGGAUGGGGUCGCUGGAUCGCAUGGUUCGGCGACUAAAGGUGCCCUACUUACAGUGGUACCGUUCGGGGAGGGAUCUAUGUCCUAUCAGCUAGUUGGUGAGGGUAACGGCCCACCAAGGCAUUGACGGGUAGCCGGCCUUAGCGGGUGUCCGGCCACAUUGGGACUGAGACACUGCCCAAACUCCUACGGGAGGCUGCAGUCGAGGAUCUUCCGCAAUGGGCGCAAGCCUGACGGAGCGACGCCGCGUGUGGGAUGAAGGCCUUCGGGUUGUAAACCACUGUCACUCGUUAAGAAAGGGUCCGGUGUUAACAGCAUCGGGAACUGACGAAGGCGAGAGAGGAAGCCACGGCUAACUUCGUGCCAGCAGCCGCGGUAAGACGAAGGUGGCGAGCGUUGUUCGGAAUCACUGGGCAUAAAGCGCACGUAGGCGGCGACGUAAGUUGGGUGUGAAAUCCCUCGGCCUAACCGAGGAACUGCGCCCAGUACUGCGUUGCUUGAGGAUCAAAGGGGUGCAUGGAAUUCCCGGUGGAGCGGUGAAAUGCGUUGAUAUCGGGAGGAACUCCGGCGGCGAAAGCGGUGCACUGGUUGAUUUC